rnacentral:rRNA from 1 species
AUUGAACGCUGGCGGCAUGCUUUACACAUGCAAGUCGAACGGCAGCAUGGGUGCUUGCACCUGAUGGCGAGUGGCGAACGGGUGAGUAAUGUAUCGGAACAUAUCCGCAAGUGGGGGAUAACGUAGCGAAAGUUACGCUAAUACCGCAUAUUCCCUGAGGGGGAAAGGAGGGGAUCCGCAAGGACCUUUCGCUUACGGAGUGGCCGAUAUCGGAUUAGCUAGUUGGGGAGGUAAAGGCUCACCAAGGCGACGCUCUGUAGCGGGUCUGAGAGGAUGAUCCGCCACACUGGGACUGAGACACGUCCCAGACUCCUACGGGAGGCAGCAGUGGGGAAUUUUGGACAAUGGGGGCAACCCUGAUCCAGCCAUGCCGCGUGAGUGAAGAAGGCCUUCGGGUUGUAAAGCUCUUUCAGCCGGAAAAAAAUCGCAUCACCUAAUACGUGGUGUGGAUGAUGGUACCGGAAGAAGAAGCACCGGCUAACUACGUGCCAGCAGCCGCCGUAA